AAUGCUCUCCGAGCCGUCGUGUCAACCUACCAUUUGAAGUUGAAAUUCUCCACCAGCCAGGGGAUCGGAGAGGUACGGGGAGACCAAGCCCUGGCCAGGCACUGCUACAGCAUAGCCUUGCAAGAAAGCGACCAAUCUGGCCCCUGUCCCGUUGAUGGGUUGGAUGCGCGUGAUGACCUCAUCGAAGAGAGGGGCACCCCGAUUGAGGAUCUGAUACCAAUCCCUUUGAACGACGGGAACGCGGAGCAUGUAGCGAUGAUCGGCUCCAACCUAGAGGGGGAGGUGCGGA
rnacentral:lncRNA from 1 species